rnacentral:tRNA from 1 species
AUUUAUAUAGUUUAUUUUAGAAAACUUUAUAUUUUCAUUAUAAGAAAAAUAUUUUUAUUUAUAAAUU